GGCCAAUGGGAGCUGCGGGGGUGGCACCUGCCCAUGGGGCAGCACGCAGAGCCACCUGGAAGUGCUUCCAUGUAGGAGCCAGUGGUGGGACAUGCUGCUGCUUCCGGGAGCUGCUUGAGCAGUACAUUCUGCCCCUUGAUGUCUCGAUGAAUUACUUUAUGCUGGUGUAGAUGACUCAAACCCUAGAAAAUUCAGUGGAUAAGCAAGCAUCUAGCACAAUGGCACUACCACAAUAUAAAGAAAGGAAGAAAAAGCGGGCACAGUACCAUUCCUUUCCGAAGUGCUUCUGGUUGGGAGAGAGGAGAGACAAAGAACUAGAAGUGUUCCAACGGUUCCUUCUUGCCUUCUUAAGCGAUUCCCCUGACGCAUGCACCUCUGUACCUGGAGUAUCUGCUCACUGACAGCCUGGCUGCAGUUGGAGUUAUCCUGAUUUAGGAUAAUUCUUGGGAGAACCACCCCUCAGCUGAUCUGUCUGAAUUGGGACUGGACUUUAACAGCAGCAGCAACACUGACAGCUUCAGCCCAUCUCAACAAGCUUCUUCUCUUUUCUCCAAAAGGGAAGCUACCACCAUCUUUAAUACCAUCUGAGAAAUGGUCAGACAGAGGGAGGUUUCCUUCUAAAGACUCCCCUUGGCUAAAGGAAAAAGGAAAAAAGGGACAUUAUGAAAAUGAAAGCCUUACUUAGUAAC